UACGAAGGGGGCUAGCGUUGCUCGGAAUCACUGGGCGUAAAGCGCACGUAGGCGGAUUGCUAAGUCAGGGGUGAAAUCCUGGAGCUCAACUCCAGAACUGCCUUUGAUACUGGAGAGCUUGAGUCCGGGAGAGGUGAGUGGAACUCCGAGUGUAGAGGUGAAAUUCGUAGAUAUUCGGAAGAACACCAGUGGCGAAGGCGGCUCACUGGCCCGGUACUGACGCUGAGGCACGAAAGCGUGGGGAGCAAACAGG
rnacentral:rRNA from 1 species